rnacentral:rRNA from 1 species
AGAGACAACAGGGAUUGCCCCAGUAACGGCGAGUGAAGCGGCAGGAGCUCAAAUUUGAAAUCUGGGGUCCACGACCUCCGAGUUGUAAUUUGGAGAGGCAACUUCGGGGGGGAGCGUCGGCCCAUGUUCCUUGGAACAGGACGUCACAGAGGGUGAGAAUCCCGUGCCAGGCCGGCUCCCUCCUCCCGGGUGAAGCGCCUUCGACGAGUCGAGUUGUUUGGGAAUGCAGCUCCAAGUGGGUGGUAAGUUUCAUCUAAAGCUAAAUACCGGCGGGAGACCGAUAGCGCACAAGUAGAGUGAUCGAAAGAUGAAAAGCACUUUGAAAAUAGAGUCAAAAAGUACGUGAAAUUGUUGAAAGGGAAGCGCUUGAGACCAGACUCAGGCCCCGGCAAACACCGCGCCCCCCCGGGGCCGUGCAAUUGCCUGGGCCUGGGCCAGCAUCAGUCGGCGCGGCGGGACAAAGGCGCCGGGAAUGUGGCUCCCCUCGGGGAGUGUUACCAGCCCGGCGCUCAAUGCCGCCGACGCCGACUGAGGACCGCGCCUAGGCUAGGAUGCUGGCUUAAUGGCCUUCAGCGACCCGUCUUGAAACACGGACCAAGGAGUCUAACAUCUAUGCGAGUGUUUGGGAGCCAAACCCUUGCGCGGAAUGAAAGUGAGCGGAGGUGGGAACCCCCCCCAACUGGGGGGGGCGCACCAUCGACCGAUCCUGAUGUCUUCGGAUGGAUUUGAGUAGGAGCAUAGCUGUUGGGACCCGAAAGAUGGUGAACUAUGCCUGAAUAGGGUGAAGCCAGAGGAAACUCUGGUGGAGGCUCGCAGCGGUUCUGACGUGCAAAUCGAUCGUCAAAUUUGGGUAUAGGGGGCGAAAGACUAAUCGAACCAUCUAGUAGCUGGUUCCUGCCGAAGUUUCCCUCACGGA